UGACCUUUGUGAGGCUCAUGAUAAUGUCCAGGAUGAACAACAUGUUCUCUUUCAUUGCACACAUCCCCAGGUGGUCUCUCUCCGCAGGAAAUAUGCUCCCUUGUUCUCACAGGCAGGAUCUCAUGAUGUGUCCGCUUUUUUAAACCAGAACAACACUUCCAUUUUUCCUUCAUGAAUUAAUCGCCUUUUAUGUGCAGGCUAGCAGUUGCAAUUCUUGACUGAAGGCCUUAUCCUUGUAAACCUUGUAAACCUUGU
rnacentral:lncRNA from 1 species